CUGUUAGCCGUGUAGCGGAGCCAGUACUGUGAAAUGACGAUUUUGCGUUUUUUUCCUCCCUAAGGUAUAAAAACUCUCUUCAGCUUCCGUCGGAUAUAGCGCGCUCUCUCUCUGAACUCUCAAAUCUCUUCACCGUCUACCGCCUGAUCUUUUUCUUGUCGCUUCUGGGUUGUUGGCUCCAGAGAGAGUGAAGAGAAGAAGAGUCUGAUGUCAUACUCAUACCCAAAAGAUCAGGUUGCAACUGGCGAAAGGGAUCCUCCUUCGAUGACAAGCUUUAUUAUCACCCAACAUCAUUCCAGUACUGGGUUUUCAAUUUUGAUCAAGAAUUGAAAGCUGAUCAAAACUAUCAGUGGCUUUGAUAUUUGAGGGAUCAUGUUGCCAAUGGAGUGAGUUGUCGUCUGUGUAUUUAGGUUGCAGUUGAAAUUGCUGGUACUCUUUCUUAAUUGGACACUGUUCUGAUUGAUUAUGCAUCUUCCAUUGUUGAUAUUUGGUUAUAUGCUUGACUCUUCCGGUUUCUGGGUCUUGAAUCCUUUUGAACGAACUAGGAAUAUGCUCUUCCGGGUCAGGAACUUUCCUUGAAAUUGAGAGCUUUUGAUUGUUAAUUGAGACGAAAAUUCAUAUCUUUGUCCAUUUAAGAAUCAGCUUAGGUGUGGAGUUGUAUGAUUAUGCUUGUACCCAGACAUCUUUUUCCAGUUACCCAUAAUUCUUCUUCUGAUGAAUUUCAUCAUUGUUUCUUACUUUACCUUAAUUUCAUUAACAAUGACUUUGAUUAAUCCACUUCUGACAGAAACCAGACUCAAUAUUUCUUCUUUUUAAUGAAAUCCACAUCUGAAAUUCUGAAUAUUUCCUUGAUAUUAUAUUACUCAUAAUUUGAUCAUGUAUCUAUAUUGAUAUGCUAUAUACUAAGUGGUUAUAGUUUUACCUUAUCUUAUCAAUAUGCCUAUUCACAAAUUCUUAUACCCUUAUGUCCACUGCAGGUAAUGUCUUUGCAUUUGUGUUUUUUGUCUCACCAGUAUAAGUUUUUUAUGGAGUUUAUAAGAAAAAUGAACACUUCAGAAACUUUUCACCUCGCCGUUGAUUUAAGAAUCUUUUUUUAUGUUUUCCGGACCAACAUUUAAGAGAAUCAUCCGAAACAAGUCCACGGAACAAUUCUCAGGAUUGCCUUACAUGUAUGCCUUUCUGAAUUGCUUGAUAGGCCUCUGGUAUGACAUGCCUAUCGUAAAGACUGGGAUCAUAUUGGUGGCUACAGUAAAUUCAUUUGGGGCAGUUUACCAGUGGACUUGCCUGACAAAAAAAAAUUAAGGUAACCAUUGCCACAAGUCUACUUUCAUUUCUUAUUGACAUGCCUCUUAGAACUCUAAUCAUCUGCUCUUUAAAAUGCUUGUUGCAAGUGAGGAUGUUCACUGAUGAAGGAGUGGAAUACAAUUGGGUGCAUUGCGUUUCAAAAGUUUCCAGUACUGGGUUUUCAAUUUUGAUUAAUAAUUGAAAUUAUAAGAUUAUUUUCGCCAUAGGGCUAUCUGUGGUUUUGAUAAGGAUGUCAUCAUGCUAUCAGGGGUUUAGAAUUGUGUGAUAGUAAUGGUUUCAUUGAGGAAACAGAUCAUUAUGGCCAGAGAAGUAGGAGUGCAUUGGUUUAACAUCUUCUAGAAUUGCGCUGAGAGAAGUAGGAGAGCUCCAGGUCAGACACCCUUUCCUGAAUUAUCUUUCCAUGUGUUAAUUUCUGAAAAGAUCCCGAUCUUUUUUAGAUAAUUCGAGAAAGAUAAAAUUGAACCGAUAUUUCAUUUCUCCCGAAUUGUGUUGGUUCAAUUUUAUGUCGGUCUGAGAAAUGAAAGAUACCGAUUUUGUGUUUCUACGGUCUCAAAUCCCUACCUUUGUCAAUCCAACGGCCCUGUUUUAAUUUCUGAAACUGGUUCAAUUUUAUGUCUGUAUAUUCGUUUGUUUCCAAGACAAUCACGGUUGUCUAAAGAACAGCCUUUGCUUCCUUGCUUUGUGCCUAGAAUUUCCAGCUCUGUCAAUGGCCACCAGCUCUGUCAUAGAAAGAAUGUAAGGUCUCCUAUUAGUACGUUUAGCCAUGAUUACUGCUGUUUGGUUGUAUCUGGAUUUGUUUUUCCGUAGACAUAUGCUUAUGUUUAUAUAGAGUUUAGGGUUUAGGGUUUAGGGUAAAGAAGAAGAAAUAGAACAAUUGAGGGAGGCAUAGAAAAGAAACAGAGAAGAAAUGGAGUUCAGAUUGUUAGCUUGAUUGAAUUAUUAUAAAUGGGAGUCAAAAAUGAUAUUGAUCGUAAAAUUUAUUUGUUGUUGAAUCUAAGGUUUUAGCUUAGCAAGAUUAUAGAAACUUUUGAUCAAUUCUUAUAUAUGGCAUAGGUUUGUCAAGUGUGAAAUAACCUGAGGUUUUUGAGGACAGAGAAAUGGAAGAAGUCAGGAAACACAUGGUUCCUAUUUAGCUUUGCUGAUAACAUUCUUGCAUGUUAAGCGUUAUUUUUGUAGUUAUAUCAGUUGUAGAUGUUUGUCAAUACUAAAUUAAGUCAUUUUUCCUCAAAAAGAAUGGACUAAUUUGCAUAUUCUACUGGUCAGUGGAAGCGUCGCAAGAUUGACAAAGAGCGUGGCUUGGCUGCACAGGCUGUUCGUUGGCACAAGACCAGCAAGACCAAGGCUAUAAAAAAAAAUGGAGUUUAUCCGGGCUGUAAGAAGAUCAUGGUGCUGUACAAAAGUUCAAAAAAGGGUCCAAAGCAGAUAAGGCUAUAACCAAUUAUUUCUUUUUUAAGAUUUAGAAGUUUUAAACGGAGAAACUUUUAUUCUAUAGUUAUACACUUAUAUGAUAUCCCGUGUUUGUAAUUGCUAUCUGAUUUAGACUUACACAUAUUAUGCUCUAUACUAAAGCUCUAGGGGUGGAUGAACAGUAACAGAGCUAAGUGAUCGGACCAUUUUGCUCCUCCUCUGUGGUCUCUUUUGCUGUUGUGCCCCUGACUAUCUCAUUUAUCCAUAUUGCACCGCUUCGAAGUGCCGCCGCUUCAUUCUUCUUCGAUUUUCAUCCAUCACUGCUUCACUCUUCAGGCUUGCGAUCGCUGUUCAAGUCGAAAGGACAAGUCUCAUCUACUGAAGGGAUCGUUGAGACAGUUGAGGCGGAGUCAGGGUUCGUUAGUGUUGGUUAUGUUGCCCAUGUCCGUGAGCUUCAAGGAGAGAUUCGUGUGAAACCUAGCACUGACUUUCCUGAAUUGUGGUUUGCUGAGGUGUGUAUUAUAGGCAUUGUUUGGGACAAUAUUUAUGUUCUGGUAUGCGAGUCCGUGUUCUUUUUGAAGUAUUUCGAGUGAACCCAGAAGCUUAGGACUGCCAGCCAAGAUGACGGUGGCAACUAGAAGAUAAUUAUGUUUCUGUAGAAUUUGAAGACAAAAAGCUCAGCUGGCUAGAUGUUGCAGUUUACAGGGCAAGUAUUAGCUUGGAUCAUUUAAAAUUUUUUGCUGGACUUAAUAACAGUUUUAGUUAUAUGACAUAUCCAGUGAUUCCAGUC